rnacentral:rRNA from 1 species
UACGGAGGGGGCUAGCGUUGUUCGGAAUUACUGGGCGUAAAGCGCACGUAGGCGGCUUUGUAAGUUAGAGGUGAAAGCCCGGAGCUCAACUCCGGAAUUGCCUUUAAGACUGCAUCGCUAGAAUUGUGGAGAGGUGAGUGGAAUUCCGAGUGUAGAGGUGAAAUUCGUAGAUAUUCGCAAGAACACCAGUGGCGAAGGCGGCUCACUGGCCCAUAACUGACGCUGAGGCACGAAAGCGUGGGGAGCAAACAGG